GUCUACAGCCAUACCACCCUGAACACGCCCGAUCUCGUCUGAUCUCGGAAGCUAAGCAGGGUCGGGCCUGGUUAGUACUUGGAUGGGAGAUAUAACUCAGUCGUGCCUGUACCCC
rnacentral:rRNA from 1 species